rnacentral:lncRNA from 1 species
UCACAGGCCCCUGCAUAUGGGUGAAAAGUACCUCAGCCACAAGAGCAGCCCUGGGCGGAAAUGCCUGCAUCUUCUCCUCCCGUAUACUGAUGCUGCCAUCCACCUCGCAACUCUGCUAAGUCGUAGAAUACUGACAUGACUAUUGUGAGCAUGACGUAUGUAAGUCGUAUUUUUUUUUUCCCACAAUGUGGCUAUGGAAAGAAAUUUACAGCAUCCUCUUUGUCUUACAUAUAUGAACUUUAAAUCUGUUUAAUAUAAUGUGUUGCUUUGAGAUUGAGAUGUUGGGGCCUUUCAGCCAUUUUUUAUGCAUUAUGUAUCUAUGUAGCUGCUGUUCACAGUUAUUCUGUCGGUCAUAAACUGGCAACAGUGUAGCUUUUGAUUUUGUUAGCUGAAUCUCUCUUAUAUGGAGAUAUCCAGGGGAUUUAAGAAUAUUUUCUACUUUAAAUUGCUUGUACUCUUGAAUUUAUUCACACAGAAAUGUAGUCUAAGUAUUGGUGUAAUUUGUACCCUCUUGUAUUUGAUCUUUGUUUUUUCUAUGUGAACCAGGCUUCAUCAAAAAGUUCUAGUAAUAAUAUCUGUGAAAUGUGUGGACAGGAAUUUGAAUCAAGGUAUGCUUGAAGUACUUCAUUAAUAUUUGCUAGUUUGGAUAUUCUCUGUAGUAUGUCCUUCAAUCACUGAUCUUUGCAUUGGUGCCAUUAUUGUACAGGACUAAACUAAGAAUUUGGGAUGCUGCCUGCUCUGUUGGGUUGCCAUUGUCAAUCCCAGAGCAGAGCGAAGUCCAGUACACAUUGUUGUCAUGUGUAUUCUUGACAAUUUUGAUUUUUGACAUGUAUGAUUCUUUUAUCUAAGCCAAGAAGCC